rnacentral:rRNA from 1 species
GGGAGAUUCACAUAGAGGCAGCAGUAGAGAGUUUUGUGCAAUGCACGAAAGUAUGACACAGUGAGGAGACAUCUAAUUGAGCCUGUCAAAUUUAGUGCCAGCAGACGCGGUAAAACUAAAGGGCUGGUCUUUAUAACUAAAAAGGUGUAUAGGAUGUGUGGGCCCAGAAUUUAUCUAAGAAGGUUAAUGGAAGUUUUUCUGGAGCGGUGGAAUGUGGGAAUAGAAAAUAGAACCCCUAAGAGUAAAACUAUUUACUACCAAAUAGGCUCAAACAUGAGAGCGUGGGUGAUAAACAGGAUUAGAGACCCUGGUAGUCCACCCUGUAAACUUUGAAGAUUAUGCUAAACAUACCCGAAAGGUAAAAUCUUCCGCCUGAGUAGUACGAUCGCAAGAUUAAAAUUCAAAAACUUUGGUUGUUCACUAUUUAGAUUAGAGGAGCGUGUGGUUUAAUUCGAUAGUCCGCGUGUAACCUUACCCCAGCUUGAAUCUAUGACUGGUAUUGCAUGGCCGUCGUAUGUUCUUGUAUGAAGCGAAAAGGGACCCAAGCCGGGUUUAUCCCGAAGGAAGUCAGGUAUUAUGAUCCAAAUGUUGGGGGGCUUAAUGCGCUACACUUUUUUAUAUAAUAAGAGACUUGAAAGGUAAGUCUCUAAAGUAAGAGUUCGGAAGGUCCCUGUAAAACGAUUAAAAGUUGAAUUUAAUAGUAAUCGGAAAGUAGUGCGUUCCGGUGAAUAGGUAUAAGUGCUAACACAAAUUGCUCGUCACCUCUUCUUAGAAGGGCUAUUUGAACGCCUUGAGUGACUACAAAAGUCUUUAAGGAAGAGUAA